UACGUAGGGUGCGAGCGUUAAUCGGAAUUACUGGGCGUAAAGCGUGCGCAGGCGGCGCGUUAAGACAGGUGUGAAAGCCCCCGAGCUUAACUUGGGAAUUGCGCUUGUGACUGGCGAGCUGGAGUGUGGCAGAGGGAGGUGGAAUUCCACGUGUAGCAGUGAAAAUGCGUAGAGAUGUGGAGGAACACCGAUGGCGAAGGCAGCCUCCUGGGCCAGCACUGACGCUCAUGCACGAAAGCGUGGGGAGCAAACAGG
rnacentral:rRNA from 1 species